CCCGGGGCUUUACACCGACCCGAAAUCCCUACGGUUUUUAGGCUAUGGGAUGAGGGCGCCGAGCUUGCCGUAAAGGUGGGUUUUCGGCCAGGGUUGAGCCGGAAACGGCUUUGCCUCCCGACAUUGGAAAGGAGACAGAUGAAACGAUUU
rnacentral:ncRNA from 2 species